GGUGGUCCCCACUUUCUGAUGUAAUAUAUUCCUGAAGACUGUUGUUUUAAAGUGGAUCACCAUAAGGCCCAAUUCUAACUCGGCAGGAGUUUGUGCUUUCAUCUGUUCAGAUCUAGUCGGAAAUGGAAGCUUCUGGAAUUCACCAGGACAAAUGAAGAAGGGCCUCAAGACAACUUUGGACUAGUAGCUGUGAUCAAAGUUAAUCUUUCCUGUAGCAAGUGGAACUUGUGCUAGUCACCAGAGUCCAAUGGCAAAAGAUAAGUCAAGGUGUGUGGCAAUAGCCCAGGAUGAACCAAAGGCCUUGGCAUCUUCUGUGUCUGACCAAACUUUUAAGUGCUCCACAGUGCCUACUUCAGCUGCCUUCAUGGAUUCUGGAAUAGAUUGUUCUCAUCUAGGAAAAGAUCUGGAAAAGGAGAAAACAAGAUAAGAAAUCAAGCAUAGAACAGCAGAGAGAGAGAAGCCC